GUUGGGACGGGACUUCUACAUUCAGCAUUGUUGAAGUUUGUUUCAAAGGACAUUGUUAUCCUCCAUGAUGUUGCGCUCGAAAGUACCCGGAUACAGAGAAGGGUUGAAUGUCUACCAAACGUUUACCUGUCCACGGACGGACUCGGCAUGGACGUCGGCGUCCCUAAGGAUGAACUGUAGUGUUGGAGGCGACCAACCGUUUAACCAUUAUUACUGUAUCCCUAACGCCGAGAGGACCCAUUUUGUAGAGUUUUGUUACGACAGAGCUAGUUUGAAGACCGAGAAAGGCAAUUGCUGGGAAUUAGGUGGAAUAGGGUACAUAAACCAAGUCGACUGCACGAACUUCGUCAAAGGAUGCCCAGACUACACGUACUUGAGCGAACGAGUUUACAAAUUUCCAGCUUGUCUAGAUUUGAAUUUUUCUGAACAAUGUUUCAACGAGGAGCCUGGCUGCACAGUUUUGAAAAAUUCUACAAAGUAUGUACGAUGUUGUUGGUGUUUCGUUU